CAGCCGCCGCGGUAAUACGUAGGUGGCAAGCGUUGUCCGGAAUUAUUGGGCGUAAAGCGCGCGCAGGCGGUUCCUUAAGUCUGAUGUGAAAUCUCGCGGCUCAACCGUGAGCGGUCAUUGGAAACUGGGGAACUUGAGUGCAGGAGAGAAGAGCGGAAUUCCACGUGUAGCGGUGAAAUGCGUAGAGAUGUGGAGGAACACCAGUGGCGAAGGCGGCUCUUUGGCCUGUAACUGACGCUGAGGCGCGAAAGCGUGGGGAGCAAACAGGAUUAGAUACCCUGGUAGUCCACGCCGUAAACGAUGAGUGCUAGGUGUUAGAGGGUUUCCGCCCUUUAGUGCUGCAGCUAACGCAUUAAGCACUCCGCCUGGGGAGUACGGCCGCAAGGCUGAAACUUAAAGGAAUUGGCGGG
rnacentral:rRNA from 1 species